rfam:Sinomicrobium oceani strain CGMCC 1.12145 genome assembly, contig: IQ32DRAFT_scaffold00002.2
AAAGGGGAAGCCGAAAACCUUUAACCGAUCAGAGUAGGCA